ACUACUACUAUCAGUCGUACUACCUUUACUCCUACUACUACUAUCUCUACUACUAUUCAUACUUUUGCAACAAUGGAACAAGGGAAAAAUUCUACAGUAGGAGAAAAUAAACACAGAGCUUCAUUUGACCCAAGGAUCCUCAUCAUCCUUCUGAGUGUGUUGAUCUUGAUUGUAAUUGUUUUGUUGUUCAUCUGGUUUAUACUGAGACACGGUAAGUAUUACUAAACUUGAAUUUAUAUCCAUGGUAUUUUUUUCCAGAAAUCUUUCAGUUUUCAACUUUUACAUUAUUACACAUUGUUACACAGUGUCAGUAACAGCACUUUUAUUUUUCUAGUGCAGAGGAAAGCAGACUCAUCAGUCACACCAGUGGCUGAAGAGGAAAUAAUACACUCUGAUGUUAGACCCAAGAAAAGAAGUUUAGCCAAGGUGGAUACGGAAGUAACAUACUUUGAAGUUAGACUCAACGAAAAAGGGAAGAGGUCAUUUGCUGAAAGUGAAACGGAAAUCUUGUACAGUUCUGUUGUUACGAAACAACGCAUGAAAAGGGGUGACGGAAAAGACACAGGAGUUACAUUAGAGCACAUUAGCUAAUCAGAAUUUAAAAGAUUAAAUAUUAAAACAUUUGCAAUUUUAUCUAUUUUAUCUGUACCUAUGUUACUGGAGUCUUGUGGAGCAAUGUGUUAUCUGCUGCCAUCAGCUUGUUAUUAGUAAAUCUUUUCUUCUUCUUGCUAACUUUUUUCCUGCAUAGCUGUAAAAUGGCUCAAAGAAGCAUUGACCUGUUUGUUUGCUCUUUUUCAGGAUCAUCAAUGUGAUUCUUGG